AAUGAGGAGCCUGAGGAAAGGAUUAUUUUGAUAGGAUAAAACACGUGAAAUUUCACCCUCAUUA
rnacentral:tRNA from 1 species